GAAAAGUUUGCCAUUGGUAGGGUAGGAUAUUUGCUCAAUAUUGUGUGAAAACACUUAGGCGUUCGAUUCGUCUCUUUUCCG